AUUCCAGCUCCAAUAGCGUAUAUUUAAGUUGCUGCAGUUAAAAAGCUCGUAGUUGGAUUUCGGGCGGUUGACGACGGUCCGCCUCUGGUGUGCACUGCCGUUCUUCCGCCUUUCUGUCGGGGACGUGCUCCUAGGCUUCAUUGUCUGGGACACGGGUUCGACGUGGUUACUUUGAGUAAAUUAGAGUGUUCAAAGCAGGCAUCGCCUUGAAUAUAUUAGCAUGGAAUAGCACGAUAGGACUCUGGCCUAUUUUGCUGGUCUGUAGGACCGGAGUAAUGAUUGAUAGGGAUAGUUGGGGGUGCUAGUAUUUUGCGGCCAGAGGUGAAAUUCUGUGAUUCGCGAAAGACUAACUUAUGCGAAAGCAUUCACCAAGGAUGUUUUCAUCA
rnacentral:rRNA from 1 species